AAUCAACGCUGGCGGCGUGCCUCAGACAUGCAAGUCGAACGCGAAAGUCUCCUUCGGGGGAUAAGUAGAGUGGCGCACGGGUGAGUAACACGUAGGUAAUCUACCUUCGGAUGGGGAGUAACAACCGGGAAACGGUUGCUAAUACCGCAUAAUGCGAGCGGGCACCUAAUGGUGACAGUUGUUAAAGCGGGGGAUCGAAAGACCUCGCGUCUGAAGAGGAGCCUGCGGCGGAUUAGCAGUUGGUA
rnacentral:rRNA from 1 species